rnacentral:sRNA from 1 species
UAGAUUUAUAAUUGAAUAAUAAAAAGUAAGCAGUUUCAAAAUAUUAAUAACUUGAAAAAGAUUCCAAGCCAAGUAAGUUCAAAAUGUCAAAUUAUUUCGGUCAUUUUAAAACGCUCAGCAUAAUUAAUUCCGGUUCUUUCAGCUCGUCAGACGUGGGCAAUAAAAAUCACUUCAUUUUUUUGCUGCAACUUUCUGGCCGGGCCAUCAUUACCAUAUUCUCUUUCUGGCCGCGAAUCCUUAACCCUUUUCCAACGCUCGCCGCUCAGUCGGCUGUCACAGUUUGACAGCAACUGGCAUUGACGCCGUCGCUCAGAUUGCAUUCGCAGGUUUGCCGCUCCGUUGUUUGCAUUUGUGUUGGUAUUUGUGUUGCGUUGUUGUGCUCAUGCAAAUUUAAUUAAAUGGAUUUCUUCUCCGGCUUCAAAACCCACCACCCCUCCCCCCAACGUUUCCCCUUCCCCAGCACAGCUCACUCUUUAAUUCAUUCCAUUUCUGUUUUGUUUGUAAGCCGAGCAGUGAGCAGCCCAGCAAGUAAUUAAGUUGGACAGAGCUCGAAUCCUAGGGCCGUGCCACACCACGCCCCUCGAUUCCCCAACGACCUUUUCACACACUAUCCAUCCAACUGGAUCUGUGGAAAAGUCUUAAAUCUUUUCGAUACUUAUUUUCGGUGUGUUGGUUGUUGUUGAAAUUUAAUUAUGAUCGGAUUGGUGAAAACUGCCCACGCUCAUCUACAGCCCACCAGAUUGAGCAAGAUUUACAGAGAAAAAGGGAAAACCGUAAAGGUAAAUGUUAUUAUUAUGAGAGCAGCAUGAUUCACAAAGUACAUAGAAGCUUGGCAAUAUAUAAUAAUAUAUAUUUCUAUUAUAGGAAAAACAUCACAAUUCCAAGCACAUAUACUUUUAUUUCAAGCUAUUCUCUAAUUUAGCAUAUAAAAUGAAAAAAGAGUUAUGACUUAAUUACGCAUAGUUCUCAUUAUCUCUAUUUAUAAAUGAAAGCUUAAAUUUUGUGAGAUACACUGAGAGAAACUCGCACAGAAGCACACCCUGUAUGUUUGGCAUGCCUGUCCGUCAAUGGUAAUUCGAUAUUGCGCCGGUUUUAAAAAUUCUCUUUUUUCCUGCCCUGCGAUGUGUGUGUGUGUGUGGUUGUGUGUGUGUGUAGCUGCCAAAUUAAUUACAGAGCGCUGCACCAACGCACAGAGAGCACUGAGAGAAAAAAAGGGUAGGGGCAGAAGCGACGGAGGGAAGUGGGUGGGCGGUUGUAGUACAAACAAACAGAGCCGGCUGAGAUUUUUUAUUCUACCUUUUUUGGUAUUUUUUUUUUAUAUUUUGUAUGCAGAGAGCGUCCCCCUUUUAACCCUUUAGUCCCCGCCCGUUAACCCUUUACCGCCCGACUGCGAGGCAGCUUUAAACUGGCUGUUGGCUGCGGCUUUUUGUUUCCAAACUGGAUUUACCUGAGCAGCUACCUCCGCUUUUUAGCCCGACGUCCUUUGUUUGCAGUGAGCCCUUUUGUCUACCGGUUCCAAAGGCCAUCGUCGCUGUCGAUCAGCGAUUACAAAGCCGGCGGAAAAGGGAGGGCACCGAGGAGGUAUCUCAAUCUUGAAGAUAGUUCCUGGUCACCUCACUCCUCAGCUAUCGAUAACUGUGCCAUGGGGAUUUCAAGCUUAACUGCCCACAAAUCACGAGUCGUUAUAGAAAUUCGGCAAUUAUGAUUAAUGAAUUAUAAAAUAUCUUCGCGAAUUAUUUAUGCUAAAUUGCUUCGUUAACCAACCAGUUUUAAGGUUUAGAUACAGAUUAUUCUUUAGCUUCCGCUUAAACAAUGCAUAUAUAAAUCAAUAGCUAAUUUAAGUAUCUUAAAGAUAUGUAUCACAGAUAUUUUAUACGUAAAAUUUAAUUGGAAAGUAGUAGACAUUCAUAAAAAUCUUCAUUUGUAGUUGUAUCUAGUUUUUAUUAUAUUAUAUUUGUAUUCGGAAUACAAUAUGCUCAGAGCAGGUCUCGUAACAAUUUCAAUAUGAUUAACCACUCAGAAAGCCAAUUUAUCGUAAUUUGCUUCGACAAUUGUCGUUGCCAGUUCUUUUUUUUUUUUUUUGCUACCCAUAAAAGUCGAGUUCUGUUCCGCUUCUCCAGCAAACAAACCGGUGCGUAAUUUGUUGUAAUGCUUUUGGUUAUUUUUCUAAUGGGGGAGCACACCCACGGUACCCCUCCCUUAUCAUCGUCCUAUCCAAUUACAGCGACGCCAUCAUAAUUUCGAACUCAAGCUUCGAGCGAAUCGAAAGCUUAGCUUCAGAUACAGAUACAGAUACAGAUACCCAUUCCGAAUCAGAAUCAGCAAUUUUUACCUGGCUUCUCUGGCUUUCUGUUCUUUUCUGUGCUCGGUGUGUUCUGGUUUCGUAUCGUUUUAUUCUUUUGCAGAGCGCAACACGAAAUUAAAUGCGCAGUAAAUUACGCAAUUUUAUGCUUCGUUAGGUUCGCUUUUUUUUCCGAUUCACCACGGCAAUGGGCGGAGGAGAAUUGCUGGAAAAUGCGAAGAAAGUAGUCAGAAGGAAGGAAGAACGGGCGACAGCAACAAGUUUUGACAGAUCCCGAGCGGUGUUACUUUCCUUCUUCUUUUUUUCGCAAAUUUAUUAUUCGCACUUGAGGGU